rnacentral:rRNA from 1 species
GGAGGCUAACGCAGGGAACUGAAACAUCUUAGUACCUGCAGGAAAAGAAAAUAAACAAUGAUUCCCCCAGUAGUGGCGAGCGAACGGGGAACAGCCCAAACCAUCCAUGUUACGGCAUGGGUGGGGUUGUAGGACUACGCCGUUGCAUGAAGACAUCAGAGAAGAACUUUCUGGAAAGAAAGACCAUAGAGCAUGACAGUUGCGUAUUCGAAUGUUGUCGAAGCAUAGUAGUAUCCUGAGUAGCGCGGAGCACGAGGAAUUCUGCGUGAAUCUGCCGGGACCAUCCGGUAAGGCUAAAUACUCCCGAGAGACCGAUAGUGAACCAGUACUGUGAAGGAAAGGUGAAAAGCACUUCGAACAGAAGAGUGAAAUAGUUCCUGAAACCAUGUGCCUACAAGCGGUCGGAGCACCUUCUGGUGUGACGGCGUGCCUUUUGCAUAAUGAACCUACGAGUUACUUUUUCCGGCGAGGUUAAGGAUUUCAGAUCUGCAGCCGAAGCGAAAGCGAGUCUGAACAGGGCGUAUAGUCGGAAGGAGUAGACGCGAAACCAAGUGAUCUACCCUUGGGCAGGUUGAAGGAUGGGUAACACCAUCUGGAGGACCGAACCAAUAAGCGUUGAAAAGCUUCUGGAUGACCUGAGGGUGGGGGUGAAAGGCUAAUCAAACUUGGAGAUAGCUCGUACUCCCCGAAAUGCAUUUAGGUGCAGCCUUGCGGGUUACUGAUGUGAGGUAGAGCGACUGAUAAGAUGCGAGGGCUUCACCGCCUAUCAAGUCUUGACAAACUCCGAAUGCGCAUCAGUUCUACCGCAGGAGUGAGGGCAUGGGUGCUAAGGUCCGUGCCCGAGAGGAGAAGAAUCCGGACCACCUGCUAAGGUCCCGAAAUAACAGCUAAGUUAAACUAACGAAGUCAGAUUGCUAAGACAGCUAGGAUGUUGGCUUGGAAGCAGCCAUUCAUUUAAAGAGUGCGUAACAGCUCACUAGUCGAGGAGUUUGGCGUGGAUAAUAAUCGGGCAUAAGUAUUCUACCGAAGCUUUGGGAUGAGAAAUCAUCGGUAGGGGAGCAUUCCACUCGGCGUCGAAGGUGAAGCGCGAGCUUUGCUGGAGCGUGUGGAAAAGCAAAUGUAGGUAUAAGUAACGAUAAAGGGGGUGGGAAACCCCCUCGCCGAAAGACUAAGGUUUCCUGAUCAACGCUAAUCGGAUCAGGGUCAGUCGGGUCCUAAGGCUCAGCCGAACGGCGAGGCCGAUGGCAGAACCGGUUAAUAUUCCGGUACUACCUGUGGGAGUGACGUGGAGACGGAGUCGUGACAGCGCCGCGGACUGACGGAAUAGUCCGUUGAAGGGUGUAGAUGCUGAUUGUUCCAGGCAAAUCCGGAGCAAGAGUCGAACCUGAUAGUAUGGAGCGUUCUUAGAACAAUCCAAUAGUGCGUGUAAUCAUACUUCCAAGAAAAUCCGCUAAACUUAAUCCUGCAGGUACCCGUACCGCAAACGGACACACGUAGUCGGGUUGAAUAUACUAAGGCGCUUGAGUGAUUCACGGUUAAGGAACUAGGCAAACUGACCCUGUAACUUCGGGAUAAAGGGUCCUCGCUUAACGGCGAGGCGCAGAGAAUAGGUCCAGGCAACUGUUUAACAAAAACACAGGGCUGUGCAAAAUUGAAAGAUGAAGUAUACAGCCUGACACCUGCCCGGUGCUGGAAGGUUAAGAGGAGAUGUCAUCGCAAGAGAAGCAUUGAAUUGAAGCCCCAGUAAACGGCGGCCGUAACUAUAACGGUCCUAAGGUAGCGAAAUUCCUUGUCGGGU